GACGAACGCUGGCGGCGUGCCUAAUACAUGCAAGUCGAACGCUUCUUUUUCCACCGGAGCUUGCUCCACCGGAAAAAGAGGAGUGGCGAACGGGUGAGUAACACGUGGGUAACCUGCCCAUCAGAAGGGGAGAACACUUGAAACAGGUGCUAAUACCGUAUAACAAUCGAAACCGCAUGGUUUUGAUUUGAAAGGCGCUUUCGGGUGUCGCUGAUGGAUGGACCCGCGGUGCAUUAGCUAGUUGGUGAGGUAACGGCUCACCAAGGCGACGAUGCAGCGCCGGCCUGAGAGGGUGCUCGGCCACAUUGGGACUGAGACACGGCCCAAACUCCUACGGGAGGCAGCAGUAGGGAAUCUUCGGCAAUGGACGAAAGUCUGACCGAGCAACGCCGCGUGAGUGAAGAAGGUUUUCGGAUCGUAAAACUCUGUUGUUAGAGAAGAACAAGGAUGAGAGUAACUGUUCAUCCCUUGACGGUAUCUAACCAGAAAGCCACGGCUAACUACGUGCCAGCCGCCGCCGUAA
rnacentral:rRNA from 1 species